UGCAUGACUGACAAAUAUAUCAUAAAAUAUUUCCAUACACCAAAUAUAGUUGAACUAUUGCAUAUAGUAUUAGAAAAAAAGACCAAAACUCAAAACUUAACUUUGUCCACUGAACCAUGAAAUUGAGGUCAAGGUCAGAUGACACCUGCCAGCAAGACAUGUACACCUUACAAGCAUUCCAUACACCAAAUACAGUAGACCUAUUGCAUACAGUAUAAGAAAAACAGACCAAAACACAAAAACUUAACUAUAACCACUGAACCAUGAAAAUGAGGUCAAGGUCAGAUGACACCUGCCAGUUGGACAUGCACACCUUACAGUCCUUCCAUA